UACAGAGGUCUCGAGCGUUAGGCGGAAUCACUGGGCUUAAAGCGUGUGUAGGCGGACUUCUAAGUACCUUGUGAAAUCCCACGGCUUAACCGUGGAACUGCUGGGUAUACUGGUUGUCUUGAGCCACUUAGGGGCUACCGGAACAAAUGGUGGAGCGGUGAAAUGCGUAGAUAUCAUUUGGAACGCCAAUGGUGAAAACAGGUAGCUGGGAGUGUGCUGACGCUGAGACACGAAAGCCAGGGGAGCAAACGGG
rnacentral:rRNA from 1 species